UGGGGAAUUUUGGACAAUGGGCGAAAGCCUGAUCCAGCAAUGCCGCGUGUGUGAAGAAGGCCUUCGGGUUGUAAAGCACUUUUGUCCGGAAAGAAAUCCUUGGCUCUAAUACAGUCGGGGGAUGACGGUACCGGAAGAAUAAGCACCGGCUAACUACGUGCCAGCAGCCGCGGUAAUACGUAGGGUGCAAGCGUUAAUCGGAAUUACUGGGCGUAAAGCGUGCGCAGGCGGUUUGCUAAGACCGACGUGAAAUCCCCGGGCUCAACCUGGGAACUGCAUUGGUGACUGGCAGGCUAGAGUAUGGCAGAGGGGGGUAGAAUUCCACGUGUAGCAGUGAAAUGCGUAGAGAUGUGGAGGAAUACCGAUGGCGAAGGCAGCCCCCUGGGCCAAUACUGACGCUCAUGCACGAAAGCGUGGGGAGCAAACAGGAUUAGAUACCCUGGUAGUCCCACGCCCUAAAACGAUGUCAACUAGUUGUUGGGGAUUCAUUUCCUUAGUAACGUAGCUAACGCGUGAAGUUGACCGCCUGGGGAGUACGGUCGCAAGAUUAAAACUCAAAUGAAUUGACGGGGUCAUAGCUGUUUCCU
rnacentral:rRNA from 1 species